AUUGAACGCUGGCGGCAGGCCUAACACAUGCAAGUCGAGCGGUAGCACAGAGAGCUUGCUCUCGGGUGACGAGCGGCGGACGGGUGAGUAAUGUCUGGGAAACUGCCUGAUGGAGGGGGAUAACUACUGGAAACGGUAGCUAACACCGCAUAACGUCGCAAGACCAAAGUGGGGGACCUUCGGGCCUCAUGCCAUCAGAUGUGCCCAGAUGGGAUUAGCUAGUAGGUGGGGUAACGGCUCACCUAGGCGACGAUCCCUAGCUGGUCUGAGAGGAGGACCAGCCACACAGGAACUGAGACACGGUCCAGACUCCUACGGGAGGCAGCAGUGGGGAAUAUUGCACAAUGGGCGCAAGCCUGAUGCAGCCAUGCCGCGUGUGUGAAGAAGGCCUUCGGGUUGUAAAGCACUUUCAGCGGGGAGGAAGGCGAUAAGGUUAAUAACCUUGUCGAUUGACGUUACCCGCAGAAGAAGCACCGGCUAACUCCGUGCCAGCCGCCGCGGUAA
rnacentral:rRNA from 1 species